CACAAUCUCCUUUGCCUUCGGGCAAGAGUGAUCGUAAAACUGUGGGAACAAGCCGUACCAUGGGUUGGCACGUACGACACCAGCAAGGAGGGGACAGACAAGGCAUAGCACCAGCAGGCAACUCAUGGAAGUCGCCAUGGAUGUUUUUUUAUAUUGGUCAUCAUGGGAACAGGGAUUCGUAUCCCAUGCCUUUGUGGAUAAAAGUAUGCCGCUACAGCAGCGUGGUGCCUUAAAAGAAAUACAGGUUUUCUAGAUGAAGGGUCAAAGGGGAUGUGCGAUAUUGCACCAACUUUGGAGGCACAGGAUGCGUGAUGAAUCUGCGUUAGGUACUUGCAUGGCCUACAUUGAUUGAUGCCGGGAGCAGGUUCCUGGAAGUACUUUCAACUGUUCCUAAGUUUUGUCACUGGGCCCAGCAGCCUUGUUUCUCUGCACAGCACAUAGCAGUGGCCGUUUCUUGAAGAAAACAACAGCGUGGUUGUUACUGCCAGAGAGUCAGAGUUUCAGGGACUUUGCAUAUGACUUGCAGGUAUGCUUAUGCUACGUGUGUGUGUGGGAACCGUUUUCUGGUUUAGAAAGAAAAGUACACAAAUGUGGAGACCAAUUUGUGACCUAGCACUGUCAUAUAUUCUUUCUUCUUUUUUUUUUCUUUUCUUUUUUGCAAAUUAAUAUCCUAGCUAAACUAACACAGACAGAAUGAGCAUAAAGAAAAUUCAUAUGAGCUAGGAGUUUUUAAGUUCAUAUCUA